UAACUCUAUACGAAAAAAACUGAUAAAUGUUAGGAUAUGCAUUAAAAUUGUCAGUCAACAUUCAACAUUAACGUAGGGACAACCUGUUUUUGGAAACAGGGUUAUCAAAAUGACUAAAUUAUUCAAUGAACUUUGAUGAUUGUGAAAUGAUUGAAUUCAGAGCAUGCAGAUGUAAAUAACAAAUAAUUAACUGACAGUGUUAAAUAUUUUGAUUAUUUAAGUAAAACCUAGAUUUACUUAACGUAAUGAGGAAAUUGAACAUUACUUGAACAUAUAUUAUCAAAUUAUAUAAAAUACAGUUGUGAUAGAGCGUGUGGUUUCCAAAUGCAUUAAUAAAGACCUUACACAUGAAAAAAAAAUAGCAAUCAUACUCCAUGGCACGUCACGUUUGUAAUGUAUCUAAUUGUUCCAAUUUAAAAAAUCGAUGUUCUGUUGUUAUAAAGGAAAAACACACUUUAAUUAAACGUUGAAACUUCAUACUUCAUUUUAAAAACCUCCUUGGACCUUGUUAUGCUCUUCAACCAUACUUAAUAUAUAUGCAUUUAAUUAAAAGCAUAUUUAUUAUUGAAGCCUGUACAAGUUCAAGACAGAAAGAACAAGAUGAAAUUGAUCCUUUUUGCCAUUCUGUUUGUGCUGACUUCUGUGCUCAUAGUCAUUGAAGCACAUGAGACAGGAGAUCACGAUUUGAUAGAUCUGAUUUCGCCUGGAAACGAGUAUUGUUGUUGGAGGGCUGCGUUGUUUUGUUUGGAAUGGUGUACGGUUAGCGGGGAGCGGCGGAGAGUACUGAGACC